rnacentral:rRNA from 1 species
UACGGGGGGGGUAAGCGUUGUUCGGAAUUACUGGGCGUAAAGGGCGCGUAGGCGGCCAACUAAUUCGGACGUGAAAUCCCUCAGCUUAACUGGGGAACUGCGUCCGAUACUGGAUGGCUUGGAUUUGGGAGAGGGAUGCGGAAUUCCAGGUGUAGCGGUGAAAUGCGUAGAUAUCUGGAGGAACACCGGUGGCGAAGGCGGCAUCCUGGACCAAUAUUGACGCUGAGGAGCGAAAGCCAGGGGAGCAAACGGG